rnacentral:ncRNA from 1 species
UGAAAAUCCGAGUGAGGGAGUGUAAUUUUCGUGCCGGACCGUACCCACAUCCGCAGCAGGUCUCCAAGGUGAACAGCCUCUAGUCGAUGGACCAAUGUAGGUAAGGGAAGUCGGCAAACGGAUCCGUAACCUUGGGAUAAGGAUUGGCUCUGAGGACUGAGCCGGUCGGGCUGGGGACCUGAAGCAGGAACGGCACUGCACCGGGACUGGGCGGGGCUCGCCGUUCACGCGGCGCGGCCAAGCCCGGACCAGCGUCGGGACCUUCCUGUGGAAAGCCUCAGCUGCGCGGCGUCUGAGGGCUUCGUGCCCAAAGUGCUAUGCUUCGGCCGGCAAAAAACAGUCAACUCAGAACUGGCACGGACCGGGGGAAUCCGACUGUCUAAUUAAAACAAAGCAUUGCGAUGGCCGCUGGUCGGUGGUGACGCAAUGUGAUUUCUGCCCAGUGCUCUGAAUGUCAACGUGAAGAGAUUCAUCAAAGCGCGGGUAAACGGCGGGAGUAACUAUGACUCUCUUGUCAUAGUUAAUCCUCGGCAUUUCGUUUUCGGCCGCAGGCAGGGCGCCAAUGCCUUUGGAGCGGGAGCUGGCGCUGCUGCUGGGUAGGGUGUCUAAGGCAGCUCUGAAACCCCAGCAGCGGCUAGUGAUACUCAGGACAUGCCUGGCUCCCCGUCUCUACCAUCGACUUGUCCUUGGGCCAUGGACAGCCAAAUUACUAACGAAACUAGAUCGGCAGGUUCGUGCCUCUGUGCGGCGAUGGCUGGCGUUGCCCCACGACACGCCGCUAGGCUAUUUCCAUGCGGACGUCCCGGCCGGUGGGUUAGGGGUUCCCUGCCUACGAACCGCCGUGCCAGGGCUGCAGAUGGCCAGGUUCGAGCGUUUGGCAGAAAGUGACCACCCGACCUGCGCCGAGACCCUGCGCUGCCGCCUCAUAAGGGAGGCACUGCGGCACGCAGAUCGUCUCAGCGUGUACGAAGGCGCUA